rnacentral:rRNA from 1 species
AUUGAACGCUGGCGGCAGGCCUAACACAUGCAAGUCGGACGGUAGCACAGAGGAGCUUGCUCCUUGGGUGACGAGUGGCGGACGGGUGAGUAAUGUCUGGGGAUCUGCCCGAUAGAGGGGGAUAACCACUGGAAACGGUGGCUAAUACCGCAUAACGUCGCAGGACCAAAGAGGGGGACCUUCGGGCCUCUCACUAUCGGAUGAACCCAGAUGGGAUUAGCUAGUAGGCGGGGUAAUGGCUCACCUAGGCGACGAUCCCUAGCUGGUCUGAGAGGAUGACCAGCCACACUGGAACUGAGACACGGUCCAGACUCCUACGGGAGGCAGCAGUGGGGAAUAUUGCACAAUGGGCGCAAGCCUGAUGCAGCCAUGCCGCGUGUAUGAAGAAGGCCUUCGGGUUGUAAAGUACUUUCAGCGGGGAGGAAGGCGGUGCGGUUAAUAACCGCGCCGAUUGACGUUACCCGCAGAAGAAGCACCGGCUAACUCCGUGCCAGCAGCCGCGGUAA